rnacentral:tRNA from 1 species
GCCUGGGUGGCUCAGUCGGUUGAGCGUCUGACUUCGGCUCAGGUCAUGAUCUCCUGCUCUGUGAGUUCGAGCCCCACGUCGGGCU